UAAGUUCAUGAAUGAAAAGGUUAAAAUGUAACUGAUACAGGCAGUAUUUGUAUUAUUCGCUUCUUGAGGCGGAACUAAUGUGCUUUGUUCGUAGCCCCGGGGGCCAAGAUCACUGUGACACUGCAAACGGCAGGUGCACGGUGCGCGUUUUGUCACCGAAGCUAUAAAACUUGUAAUGCACAUCAAAACCUCUUUUUACGGCAAGCGGCCAACGAGGUAUGUUUAUAUUAAUGUCGACACUGAGCGUCAUUUUGUGUUCGCUAUAUGUGUAUAAUGUGCUGCGAUAUGUAUGGAAAUGUUUUGUACUGUGUUUUUACAUACUUUCAGUUCUCACGGCGUAACGUGUAAAGCGUGAUGGUGUUGAUAAGAUGGAGAGGGAGAGAGGAGACAUGCCACCGCAAUAAACGCCCGUUCAAAGGAACCGACCUGUGUCUUGUGUCGUCGUAAGAGGAGCUACAGUGAGAACUCGACUGCUCGGCGCGGGUAGGCGAGACGACGAGACCGCAGCUGUGUGACGACGUGACGGGAUCACUCGGCAUCGCAGCAGAGCGGAAAAGCAACGCACUUCAAUCACUGUCGCCAUAGCGGCGGCAAUAUAUGGAAGGUAAACUGUGUCACAUGCGCAAGUUUCAAGGCAAAGCCAAGAGGUGCUCCACCAUCACCUUCAAGUGAAAGCGGUGUGAGAAGUGGCUCAACUAACUUAAAAAGGACUCAGUUCUGUACAUAAUGUGUGUUGAUGUGUGUUACUCCUCUUAAGCAGCUUAUUGUAUAAGUGCUAAGUGAAUGGGAAAGUAAUACUUGUAAAUUUUGAUUUAUGAAAAUAGCAGUGUUUAAAGGGUGACUGAAGUGAAAUUUAAAGGGCCAGUCCACUAAUGUGAAAACCUUUUCUUGUGUGAAGUACAAGUAUAUUUGAGAUUUUUGUUGCAUUUUUACAAAGGUAUUUGUUUUGCUUUUAAAUUUGAGUGAAGUGAAAAUACUAUUUUAUUUAAUGCAAUAUGAAAGUCCAUAUUCAGACCUGCAUGGCUACUUUACUGAAAGCCUUCUGUAGCUUACAUUUAUACAUAGCCUAAUCUAAUCCAUUUGAAGCUCAAUAGCUACACACAUCCCAUAGCCAUUCAAGUCAUCUCAAAAUGUCUUACAAAAGUUCAGAGACCUGCCACAAGAAUGCCGAAUCACCUGCUCAACAUGAAGCUACAGACCCUGACUUCCCAGAAGAGGAGAAAAGCCUACGAAGAAGCGAAAGAACAAGAACCUUAACAGAAAAGGGUAGAGAACUUCAAGAGGAAAGGCUAAAGGGUAUCCAACGUCGAUAUAGAGUAAUCUAUGAGAGGUGGAGGUGUCAGGCAAGAAUAGGCAAGGAUAUAUUGACUGAUGAGGCAUCCAAGGAUGAAUUGGGUGAGCUUAUUGAUAACAUACAAAGCACAUGCACAAAGGUAAAGAACAUUUAUGAAGAGUUGCGGGAAAUACAAACUCCUGAGCCAGACCUGCGGCGCAGAGUUGACACGUGCGUAUCGCUUUCAGGAUUUAUGAUUGAAAAGGCAGAAAGGCAGCUUAAAGGGCAUACAGCAGAGGAAGAAGAACCCUGGCCUGAUGUUGGAUCUGUACUCGACUCAACAGGCUCCUUAUCAAGACCACUAUCUCAAAGAUCGAAACGUGGCUCCAACUACACCAGUGUCUGCUCAGUAAAAAGGUAUGAGGCUGCAGCUGAAGCUGCUGCAUCCCGGGAAGUUUUGGCGGUUUUGGAGGAACAAGAAAGGGAAACAACAGAGCUUCGGAGGCUAGAAACUGAGAAUCUAGCCACACAACAAGCAAUGCAAGACAGGCGUAAAAGAAUCGAAAGGUUAGAAGAAGUUAAGAAGUUUAACGCUGCUAGAGCAAGAGUGAAGGUCUAUGAACAAAUUGAAGAAAGGUCUGAAGCAAGCAACUCCCUAAAUGAAGCAUUACGAUUAGGAAAAACUCAAGGUCUUCACACUUAUGCCCCAAACCCCCCAUUCAUUCCUCAAGCUCCACCUACUUCAAUGCCCAUGCCUCAAGCGCAGAACAGCUCAGACUUGGUCAACAUGCUAGCAGAAGCUAUAAGUGCCAAUCGUCUUCCAACACCAGAGCCUGCAUUAUUCAUUGGAGAUCCCUUAAAAUACAAGGACUGGAAACUCUCCUUUGAAACAUUGAUAAACAGGAAAAACAUCCCAAAGAACGAAAAACUGUACUACCUAAGAAAGUACUUGGGUGGUGCUGCGAAGAAAGCUGUUGAAGGAUUCUUCCUACUGGGCACUGAAGUAGCAUACGACUCAGCCUGGCAACUGUUGGAUAAACGUUUUGGAGACCCAUUCAUUAUUGGGAAGUCCUACAGAGACAAGCUAAGUGCAUGGCCAAAAAUAAGCUCUAAAGAAGGUUUCGAGCUAAGAGAAUUUGCAGACUUCCUCGAGAGCUGUCAAGCCGCAAUGCCCCAUGUCAAGACAUUGGAAGUUCUCAAUGACUGCAACGAGAGUCAAAAAAUUCUCCUUAAAUUGCCAGAUUGGCUGGCAUCCAGUUGGAACCGCAAGGCAAUGGAAUACAGACAAGCAAAUGCUGAGUACCCUCCAUUCAAAGUAUUGGUAAACUUCCUGUCAAAGGAAGCAGAUCUUGCUUGUGAUCCCAUAUCUUCAAUACAAGCGCUCAAGAGUGUGGAAGGUGAAAAACCAAAGCAUCCAAGAAGCCAAACCAUUCAAGCAAAGACACUGUCCACAAACACAACAGAAAGCAGCAUCUCAGAAUGUGUAUUCUGCAAAAGGAAAGGACAUGUACUCGCCAAGUGCAGAAAGUUUGGUGAAAAGACAGUUCAAGAGCGUAACAAGUUUGUGCAAGUAGAGAAGCUUUGCUUUGGAUGUUUAGGAAGUGGUCAUAUUUCAAGAAAGUGUGACAACAAGAGCAUAUGUGAACGGUGUCAGAAAGGACACCCAACAUGUUUACAUGAUGACAAAUUCAAGGAUCAUCAAUGGUCAAUGACUCCAAAGGUGGACACCAAAGAAAUAGCUGCAACAGCAACUACUAACAGAAUCCUACAAGACGGUUCGAGUACACAGACAUCCUCAAUUGUACCGGUCUGGGUCUCAUCCACAAAACAGCCGAAUCAUGAAGUCCUUGUCUAUGCACUCUUAGACACACAGAGCGACACAACUUUCAUUCUGGAUGAAGUUGCCCAAAACCUCAACACAACCAAAGAGAAUGUAAGUCUGAAGCUAUCCACAAUGUCUACAAGGUCAGCAGUCAUAGCUUGUCAGAAACUAACACAUCUACAAGUGAGAGGAUAUGAUUCGGAGAAGAGGAUUUCAUUGCCACCUCUUUUCACACGAGAGUUCAUUCCAGCAGACAGGUCACACAUUCCAACUUCUGAAACUGCUCAUAAAUGGACUCAUCUGGAGCAAUUGGUAGACAAAAUUCCACCACCAUUGGAUUGCGAAGUUGGCCUCUUGAUUGGCUAUAACUGUCACCAAGCCCUUCUCCCAAGAGAGAUUCUGUCUGGAAAAGAGAAUCAGCCAUACGGACAGUUAACAGACCUGGGCUGGAGCAUUGUUGGCUGCUCCAAUCAAGCAAGUGACCACGGUGAUUCAAUAGGAACCAGUCACAAAAUGAUGGUACGGCAAGUGACCCCUGAUGCACAGCCGUCUGCUAGGCUAAAGAGGGAGGUGCACUUUGUGUGCAGAACACAUGUUAAAGUGAUCAAUCCAACAGACAUUAUCAAAGCUCUCGAAUCUGAUUUCACAGAGCGUACCACAGAUGGUAAUCCAAUCUCGCAGGAAGACCUCCUCUUCUUGUCAAAAGUGAAAGAAGGUGUAAAGCAGAAGGAAAAUGGUCACUAUGAACUCCCACUUCCUUUCAAAACAGACAAGCCCAAUCUUCCAGACAACAAACAGUGUGCAGUUCACAGGCUCAUGUCAUUAGAGCGACGACUAAGGAAAAACGAGCAGUAUUGCAAGGAUUAUGUCCAGUUCAUGAACGACAUAAUCGAACGAGGAGAUGCUGAGAAAGUUCCACAGUCCGAACUCAAUGACCAACCAGCAUGGUAUAUCCCGCAUCACGGUGUCUACCACCCCCACAAACCCGGGAAGAUCCGUGUGGUUUUCGACUGUUCUGCACGGUUUCAGGAAACCUCUCUAAAUGACCAUCUCUUGACUGGACCAGACUUGACUAACACCUUAGUUGGAGUGCUUUGUCGAUUCAGAAAGGGUCCAAUAGCCAUAAUGUGUGAUGUCGAGAGAAUGUUUCACCAAUUUCACGUUGCAAAGGAACAUCAAGACUACCUCAGAUUCCUCUGGUGGGAUAAAGGCAAUCUUGACACAAAACCCUCAGUGUACAGGAUGAGAGUACACCUGUUUGGGGCAGCCUCAUCCCCUGGCUGCUCCAACUUUGGCCUCAAACAUCUGGCAUCGCAGGGUCAUGGAAAGUUCAGCGAAGAGUCCAUCAAGUUCAUACAGAGAAGCUUUUACGUUGACGAUGGCUUAACAGGUGUAGAGUCAGCGGCGGAAGCCAUACAUCUGGUGGAAGAGUCAAGAGCUUUAUGCAGAACAGGAAACCUACGGCUGCAUAAAUUUGUGUCCAAUGACAAGGAAGUAGUGGAAGCAAUACCACUUGAGGAACGUGCGCAAACCAAGGAUCAAGACAUGGCUCUUGGAGAACCAUAUAUAGAACGAGCACUCGGAGUUCAGUGGUGCGUCGAAGCGGAUUAUUUCCAGUUUAGAGUUGUGGUUAAGGAAAAUCCACUGACAAGGAGAGGUGUUCUUUCGACUGUUGCCUCCAUCUAUGAUCCAUUAGGGUUUGUGGCCCCCUUCAUCCUAGUCGGCAAACAGAUUCUUCAGGCGCUAUGCAAAGACAAAGUAGGCUGGGAUGAAGAUCUCCCUGAACACAUUCUUCCGCAAUGGGAGGAAUGGCUAAGAGAUUUGCCUCAGUUGGCAGCGCUGAAGAUUCCAAGGAGCUACCUCCCAUCAAACUUCGGGAAGGUCAUAAGAUAUGAGCUUCACAGCUUUUCAGAUGCAAGUUUUCAAGGCUAUGGUGCAUGCUCGUAUCUUCGAGCAAUAAGUGAACUGGGACACAUCAGUUGCUCUCUUGUCAUUGGGAAGGCAAGAGUAGCUCCUGUCAAACUAACGACCAUUCCAAGACUUGAGUUAUCUUCAGCUGUGACAUCCGUCCGCAACGCAGACCUCAUCAAGGGUGAACUUGAGAUUGAAGGCCUGCAAGAGUAUUACUGGACUGACUCACAGGUGGUCCUCGGCUACGUGAACAACGACGCCAAGAGGUUCCACACAUUUGUAGCCAACAGAAUCCAACGCAUACGAUCCAGCACAAGCCCUGAACAGUGGCGACAUGUCAGGUCUGAAAGCAAUCCAGCCGACCAUGCCUCCAGAGGGUUGAGUGCAGUUCAGCUGAAGGAGUCUAAUUGGCUUAAAGGACCCAACUUCCUUUGGCAGCAAAUUCCGCCAUGUGAAGAAGAGAAAGUAGAAGUAGAAACGACAGACCCAGAGCUUCGCAAAGCCUAUGCUCAUGCAGCUAAGACAGAGGAGGCGAAUGCAAUGGCAAACCGCUUCACUAAGUUUUCUGACUGGAACAGAGCUGUGAGAGCCAUCGCCAGGCUCAAGAGAUAUGUCAGAGAAUUCAAAGGACUUCAACCAAGAACUAAUGAAACAACCAAUCUCGAAGAAAGAAGAGAAGCGGAAGUUUUCAUUAUCAAGCUGACGCAAGAAGAAGCCUUUGCUGGCGACAUUCAAAGAAUCAGGUUCCAGAAAGGAGACAUUCGGAGCAAGCACAACAAGUUGCACAGGUUGAAUGCCUUCCUGGACAAAAACAAUGUUCUCAGGGUGGGAGGACGGUUGUCAAAAUCAGCCUUACACCACGACAUAAAACAUCCUGCAAUUCUUCCACGAAAAUCUCAUGUGUCAGCCCUCCUCAUCAAACAUUAUCAUGAGCGAGUAUUCCAUCAAGGAAGAGGCAUGACCAUGAACGAAUUGCGUGCAAAUGGAAUAUGGGUCUUGGGAUGUGGGAAUGUGGUCUCCUCACACAUUUAUAAGUGUGUAAAAUGUAGGAGAUACAGAAGAUCUACAGAGGUGCAACAAAUGGCAGAUCUGCCGCAAGAAAGGGCUGAAGAAUCCCCCCCCUUUACUUACUGUGGUCUUGACUGUUUCGGCCCCUUUAUCGUAAAGGAAGGAAGAAAGGAAUUAAAACGCUAUGGGUUGCUGUUUACCUGCUUAUGUUCGAGAGCAGUACACAUAGAAACACUCGAUGACUUGACAACAGACGCAUUCAUGAAUGCACUUCGAACAGUUAUGGCUAUCAGAGGACCUGUGCGCCAAAUAAGAUGUGAUCAGGGAACAAACUUCAUGGGCGCUAGGAGAGUCCUUUCUGAGUUGCUCAAAGGAAUAGAUCCUGAACGUCAGCGAGCAUUCGGCUGUGAAUUUGUGCUGAACGUCCCAUCAGCUAGCCACAUGGGUGGGGUCUGGGAGCGUCAGAUUCGGACAGUCCGAAGCAUCUUGAUGGUUAUGCUUGACCAAGCCGCAAGCAGACUCGACACCACAACUUUGAGAACGUUUCUUUACGAAACGAUGGCUAUAAUCAAUAGCAGGCCACUAAGUGUUGAGCAUCUUAAUGAUCCUACUGGUCCGGAGCCCCUCACUCCAAACCACAUACUGACCAUGAAAUCCUCAAUCAUUCUGCCGCCUCCAGGACAGUUUUGCAAGGAAGACCUGUACCUGUGCAAAAGGUGGAGAAAGGUGCAGUUCUUAGCCAAUGAGUUUUGGCAAAGAUGGAAGCGAGAAUACCUGCUGAACCUCCAACAACGACGGAAAUGGCAAAAAAUAUCAAGGAACUCGCAAAUAGAUGACAUUGUGAUCCUUCAAGAAGAUGGCUCACCAAGGAAUGAAUGGAAGCUUGCUAAAGUUGUGGAAGUGUAUCCCAGUGCAGAUGGCAUGGUACGGAAACUGAAACUUCUAGUUAGCGACACUACAUUUGACAAAGGCAAACCACUCACUAGAUCAGUUCAUCUUGAGAGGCCUAUACACAAGGUAGUCACCUUACUUGAGGCCAGCUCAAUCACAUAAGGUCACUUUCAAUGAUGCUUAAGAACAUUUUUUUUGUUUAUUCCACUUAUAUUUUGUUGUACCGGAAAAUCCCACAUUUAGGUGGAUGAGUGAUUUGGUGGGAGUGUAAGUGCCGGUAUUUAAGUUCAUGAAUGAAAAGGUUAAAAUGUAACUGAUACAGGCAGUAUUUGUAUUAUUCGCUUCUUGAGGCGGAACUAAUGUGCUUUGUUCGUAGCCCCGGGGGCCAAGAUCACUGUGACACUGCAAACGGCAGGUGCACGGUGCGCGUUUUGUCACCGAAGCUAUAAAACUUGUAAUGCACAUCAAAACCUCUUUUUACGGCAAGCGGCCAACGAGUUCUCACGGCGUAACGUGUAAAGCGUGAUGGUGUUGAUAAGAUGGAGAGGGAGAGAGGAGACAUGCCACCGCAAUAAACGCCCGUUCAAAGGAACCGACCUGUGUCUUGUGUCGUCGUAAGAGGAGCUACA